rnacentral:rRNA from 1 species
GAUGAACGCUGGCGGCGUGCCUAAUACAUGCAAGUCGAACGCGAGAGGAGGGAGCUUGCUCCCUCUGAUCGAGUGGCGGACGGGUGAGUAACACGUAGGCAACCUGCCCAUCAGCCGGGGAGAACUGCGAGAAACCGUGGCUAAUACCGGACAAUCCUCACCGCCGCGGGGUGGUGAGUUGUAAGACGGUUUGGGCUGUCGCGGAGGGAUGGGCCUGCGGCGCAUUAGCGGGUUGGCGGGGUAACGGCCCACCAAGGCAAGGAGGCGUAGCCGACCUGGGAGGGGGAUCGGCCACACUGGGACGGAGACACGGCCCAGACUCCAACGGGAGGCAGCAGUGGGGAAUCUUCCGCAAUGGACGCAAGGCUGACGGAGCAACGCCGCGUGAGUGAAGAAGGGUUUCGGCUCGUAAAACUCUGUUGUUAAGGAAGAACGCCAGGUAGAGUAACUGCUACCUGUGUGACGGUACUUAACCAGAAAGCCACGGCUAACUACGUGCCAGCAGCCGCCGUAA